UUGCUCCCGGGUGACGAGCGGCGGACGGGUGAGUAAUGUCUGGGAAACUGCCUGAUGGAGGGGGAUAACUACUGGAAACGGUAGCUAAUACCGCAUAACGUCGCAAGACCAAAGAGGGGGACCUUCGGGCCUCUUGCCAUCAGAUGUGCCCAGAUGGGAUUAGCUAGUAGGUGGGGUAACGGCUCACCUAGGCGACGAUCCCUAGCUGGUCUGAGAGGAUGACCAGCCACACUGGAACUGAGACACGGUCCAGACUCCUACGGGAGGCAGCAGUGGGGAAUAUUGCACAAUGGGCGCAAGCCUGAUGCAGCCAUGCCGCGUGUAUGAAGAAGGCCUUCGGGUUGUAAAGUACUUUCAGCGGGGAGGAAGGUGUUGAGGUUAAUAACCUCAGCAAUUGACGUUACCCGCAGAAGAAGCACCGGCUAACUCCGUGCCAGCAGCCGCGGUAAUACGGAGGGUGCAAGCGUUAAUCGGAAUUACUGGGCGUAAAGCGCACGCAGGCGGUCUGUCAAGUCGGAUGUGAAAUCCCCGGGCUCAACCUGGGAACUGCAUUCGAAACUGGCAGGCUAG
rnacentral:rRNA from 1 species